UACGUAGGGUGCAAGCGUUAAUCGGAAUUACUGGGCGUAAAGCGUGCGCAGGCGGUUUUGUAAGUCUGUCGUGAAAUCCCCGGGCUCAACCUGGGAAUUGCGUUGGAGACUGCAAGGCUGGAGUCUGGCAGAGGGGGGUAGAAUUCCACGUGUAGCAGUGAAAUGCGUAGAGAUGUGGAGGAACACCGAUGGCGAAGGCAGCCCCCUGGGUCAAUACUGACGCUCAUGCACGAAAGCGUGGGGAGCAAACAGG
rnacentral:rRNA from 1 species